rfam:Aedes albopictus isolate Foshan contig158544, whole genome shotgun sequence.
UAGCCUAGUGGUUAAGGCUACGGAUCGCCAAUCCGGAGACGGCGGGUUCGAUUCCCGU